GAAUCUUGACCUUUUCAGCUCAUAAUGAUUCCCGAAGCAGCAGGAUUUUUCCUGCUGCUUUUUACAAGACUUUCAGGCUUGAAGAAAUCCUAAGCUGAUUGCUGGCUCGUUUGGGAUUGCAGCAACACCAAAACCUCUCCUCUGUGUAAGAUACUUGUCCUGGUUCUCUGGGCCUAAUCCUGCUCUUAGUAACAUGCAUGUUAAUUCAGUUACCUGACUGAGCUUUUAGGGUAACAGCAGGCUUUGUGUCUUCCUGAUCUUGAUGUUAUAUGAAGAGAUGCAUAUAUUUCAGGAGGAAAUACUGACUGAAGUAUAGAAAGAUUCCCUAUGCACCGUACACACAUUAAUUAAACCUGAAGAUGGAAUAUGAAAAUAGUAGCCCAAAUAUUCUCCUAUUAGAAAGAGCAAAAGCAUAUUUUAUAUUAUUUAACUCAUUCUUUUGAAUGAGUUAACCACAGGAGAAACAAGGCAAUUUUCAUCAGAAGCAUCUUUGCUUUUCAUCAAAGGAGAGAUGACCCAGGCAAUCUCCUAUAACCUUUUCCAUCUCAGUAUGACAAAAUUUCUCUUUCUGAUGGUAUUUUCUCUUUGAAAGCUAUGGGCUUCUCUGAUGUUUGGAAGUCCUAAAACCUGAAUGUCACAGAUUUUCUUGUACCUCCCUGCUUUGCAUUAAACAUAACCUCAUAUAUUUUCUACUUUCAGUGGAAAAUUGGGACAUCUUCCCAUCUUUCUAUUGACCAAACUCUGUUACAAAGGUGCCAGGAGUCCUAUUUCUGGAAAAGAAAUAAAGAAGUAAUAUUCCUAGUGAAACAGGAGUCUAGGCCCAGUAUCUGUUCAAAAUAAACAAGGUAUCUCCUUACAAAUGAGCAUUCACAUUCUUAUUUAUGUGUCCAAUUUUGCGUACUCCGCAAUACUGGAAGGAAAGAAAAGAUGGAAGAACACAUGGAGAAUGGAGAGAAAUUUGAGCAUCCCUGAGGAAACAGAGGUUUAGGGACGGGGCAAUAACUGCAAGAUUGUGAUGAGAUUUUGGAAAACUUUGCUAGAUAAAAACGUAGAACAAAACUGUUGCUGUCAUUUCGUUCCCUGGGCCUGAUUAUGUUUUCAUGAUAGGCCUUUGCACUGCUUUAACUGCAAGAGCUCUUUCAGUAAAUGAGUAUCAGACCUCCAUGCUAGUGAAACGCAAGGCUUGCCAAAUUUAUCGGGAGUCUCUGUGGCACUCUCCAUCCACUCAUCUUGACAAAGAAGUGGUGGAAGCAAACUCAGUAGUUUCAAAUGGCGUCUGUUUUCUUCUCUUCUGGAAUGGUACCUGGAUGCUGCCAGUUUGGAGGCAAGUCAGUGCCAAGGCUCUACGUGGAGCUCUUCCUCGCCCUCCUUCACAAACAGCCAAGAAACAAUCAGAAACCGCUUCAUAAUAGGGCCAGGGUGAAAGGUGAGAACUGGAGUAGUCUGAAAGCCUGCUGCCAGACCUGAGGAAGAUAGUGUCAUUUUGGUAAACCUGUCAAGCUGUUGUAAGAACUUCCUGAAUGCUUCCUACCAUCUGCUUUUGAUGCUUUCAAGACUUGGCUGGAAGCCUGGAGGUUUUCCUGCUCCUUCCUGCCCAACCUAUAAUGGAUGGCCUUGUGCCCUGAAUCAUCUCUCCUGGGGCGGUCAGAGUUCCUCUGAUGUUGAACAAGUGCCGGGUGUUUCAAUUGUGUUCAUGCUCUUGAGAGGAAGGGUCUGGCCUCCACGACACAUUCCUUCUUCACACUCACAUCAACACAAAGUUUAACUUUGUGUACAGGGCUCUCAAUGGAACGGCCACACAAAGCACAUCUCCAACGACUCCGUCAGACUGCACGCUGCGCCGCUGGGCUCAGUGAAUAUUGAUGGAUAUAAAUUGUAGGGUCUGAGAUAAAUGUCGUGAAGGACAAUGAGUUCAAAGAACAGAUUAAAAAACAAUAAAUUGAAUUCCAAGGCGUUCCCUCCUGUACUAAUCUGUGUAGGUUCCUGUGUUUUUGGAAAGCAUGUUGCUUAUCUUCCUCAUCAGUAGGCCCACAGCAUUCCAGUAUUUUGGAUCAAUGCCAUUUGUAAUAAUCUAGAUCAGUUUUUAUUCAACGUUUAUAAACCAGGCCAUGUAUCACAGGGUAUAUUUUAUAGCAGAUGGUAUCUUCAAUUCAUUUAACCCCCCCCCUUCACUUCCCUCCUCCAAUAUCACAGUGCAUACUUAUAAGAGCUCUUCAAAGUAGAGCUGAGCAGAAUUCUCUUCAACAAAUAGUAAAUUUGCUGAAAAAUGGCAUUUCCAAGCAACAAAACUGUUAAACUGUGGCACAGUGAAAAAUGAGAUGUUUUGACUUCUAGAAAAAAUGGGUCUUGCAAUUUAAACAUUUUUGGGGAAAAGAA